GCGCCCACCCAGAACCUCCUGCUUCUGGGCACGCGCUCACCCAGAACCCCCCGCGCCACGGCGCGCGCCCACCUAAAACCUCCCGCGUCUGGGCACGCGCCCACCCAGAACCUCCCGCGUCUGGGCACGCGCCCACCCAGAACCUCCCGCGUCACGGCGCGCGCCCACCCAGAAUCUCCCGCGUCACGUCAGGCGCCCACCCAGAACCUCCUGCGGAGUUUCCCUUGUGCUCACCCCCGACGAUUCCCGUCCGACCUCUACGCAAGAACUGUCAUCAUCCUGUGUCAGAGCUGCCCCCGAAUGCUGGCUCUGUGCACACCGGGACUGAACGAUUGUCGUUGUCCUCGCAGCCGGUGAUCUCCAGGUUUUGUAGGACCUGUUUGGGAGUGGCUAACGCUUGGUUGCUUGCUCUGUGCCAGGUCCGGCCCAGAGGUCAGCAGAGAUCCUCGCUGUUUCUUCCUGACCCGACACCAUAGGCCGUUUUCCCACUGACUGAAUUCUUUACUUUAAAUAAAAAAGUUUACUUAAUUUUUAA